GAUGAACGCUGGCGGCGUGCCUAAUACAUGCAAGUCGAGCGAAUGGAUUAAGAGCUUGCUCUUAUGAAGUUAGCGGCGGACGGGUGAGUAACACGUGGGUAACCUGCCCAUAAGACUGGGAUAACUCCGGGAAACCGGGGCUAAUACCGGAUAACAUUUUGAACCGCAUGGUUCGAAUUUGAAAGGCGGCUUCGGCUGGCACUUAUGGAUGGACCCGCGUCGCAUUAGCUAGUUGGUGAGGUGACGGCUCACCAAGGCAACGAUGCGUAGCCGACCUGGGAGGGUGAUCGGCCACACUGGGACUGAGACACGGCCCAGACUCCUACGGGAGGCAGCAGUAGGGAAUCUUCCGCAAUGGACGAAAGUCUGACGGAGCAACGCCGCGUGAGUGAUGAAGGCUUUCGGGUCGUAGAACUCUGUUGUUAGGGAAGAACAAGUGCUAGUUGAAUAAGCUGGCACCUUGACGGUACCUAACCAGAAAGCCACGGCUAACUACGUGCCAGCCGCCGCCGUAA
rnacentral:rRNA from 1 species